UUUUUUACGAUCCCUUCGGGGUGACGAAUUUGUGACUGAGUGGCGGACGGGUGAGUAACGCGUGGGAAACCUGCCUUGUACCGGGGGAUAGCAGUUGGAAACGACUGAUAAUACCGCAUAAGCGCACAGUAUCACAUGAUACAGUGUGAAAAACUCCGGUGGUACAAGAUGGUCCCGCGUCUGAUUAGCUUGUUGGCGGGGUAAUGGCCCACCAAGGCGACGAUCAGUAGCCGACCUGAGAGGGUGACCGGCCACAUUGGGACUGAGACACGGCCCAAACUCCUACGGGAGGCAGCAGUGGGGAAUAUUGCACAAUGGAGGAAACUCUGAUGCAGCGACGCCGCGUGAGCGAUGAAGUAUUUCGGUAUGUAAAGCUCUAUCAGCAGGGAAGAUAAUGACGGUACCUGAGUAAGAAGCUCCGGCUAAAUACGUGCCAGCAGCCGCGGUAAUACGUAUGGAGCAAGCGUUAUCCGGAUUUACUGGGUGUAAAGGGAGUGUAGGCGGCUUUGCAAGUCAGAUGUGAAAGCCCGGGGCUCAACCCCGGGACUGCAUUUGAAACUGUGAAGCUGGAGUGUCGGAGAGGUAAGUGGAAUUCCUAGUGUAGCGGUGAAAUGCGUAGAUAUUAGGAAGAACACCAGUGGCGAAGGCGGCUUACUGGACGAUUACUGACGCUGAGGCUCGAAAGCGUGGGGAGCAAACAGGAUUAGAUACCCUGGUAGUC
rnacentral:rRNA from 1 species